UCCGGUACAUUUAAUUGACUUUGUUGUCACCAGUAUCAGUUACAUCAAAUUUUCAAUCAUUAAAACCGAUGUUCUGAUACAAAAGACCAUCAGCCGGAGAUUCACUGAUUGCACAAUACUGAUGAUUGCUCAUAGAAUCUACACGAUAAUGGACAGUGACCGCAUCUCGGUCAUGGCGGAAGUCCGGAUUGUGGAGUUUGGCCACUCCGAUUCACUGCUGAAAAAUCAUCAGGAAGGUACCGUUUUACGAAGUGAUCAAACAAACCGGCAAUUCGAUGUCGA